AGCAGCCGCGGUAAUUCCAGCUCCAAUAGCGUAUAUUAAAGUUGUUGCAGUUAAAAAGCUCGUAGUUGAAUUUCGAGAUCAAAUUGUUGGUCGUGCCUUGGUACGCACUGGCAUUAUUGGUUUCUCCCUUCUGACGAACCAUGAUGUCAUUAAUUUGGUGUCUUGGGGAAUCAGGACUGUUACUUUGAAAAAAUUAGAGUGUUUAAAGCAGGCUCACGCUUGAAUACAUUAGCAUGGAAUAAUGAAAUAGGACGUUUGAUUCUAUUUUGUUGGUUUCUAGGAUCGACGUAAUGAUUAAUAGGGAUAGUUGGGGGCAUUAGUAUUCAAUUGUCAGAGGUGAAAUUCUUGGAUUUAUUGAAGACUAACUACUGCGAAAGCAUUUGCCAAGGAUGUUUUCAUUAAUCAAGAACGAAAGUUAGGGGAUCGAAGACGAUCAGAUACCGUCGUAGUCUUAACCAUAAACUAUGCCGACUAGGGAUCGGAUGAUGUUAAUUUAAUGACUCA
rnacentral:rRNA from 1 species